rnacentral:rRNA from 1 species
AGUGAACGCUGGCGGUAGGCCUAAUACAUGCAAGUCGAACGGCAGCACAGUAAGAGCUUGCUCUUACGGGUGGCGAGUGGCGGACGGGUGAGGAAUACAUCGGAAUCUACUUUUUCGUGGGGGAUAACGUAGGGAAACUUACGCUAAUACCGCAUACGACCUACGGGUGAAAGCAGUGGAUCUUCGGACCUUGCGCGAUUGAAUGAGCCGAUGUCGGAUUAGCUAGUUGGCGGGGUAAAGGCCCACCAAGGCGACGAUCCGUAGCUGGUCUGAGAGGAUGAUCAGCCACACUGGAACUGAGACACGGUCCAGACUCCUACGGGAGGCAGCAGUGGGGAAUAUUGGACAAUGGGCGAAAGCCUGAUCCAGCCAUACCGCGUGGGUGAAGAAGGCCUUCGGGUUGUAAAGCCCUUUUGUUGGGAAAGAAAAGCAGCAGGUUAAUACCCCGCUGUUCUGACGGUACCCAAAGAAUAAGCACCGGCUAACUUCGUG